CUACGGGAUGCUGCAGUGAGGAAUAUUGCACAAUGGGGGGAACCCUGAUGCAGCAACGCCGCGUGGAGGAUGACGCAUUUCGGUGUGUAAACUCCUUUUAUAUGUCAAGAAAAUGACGGUAGCAUAUGAAUAAGCACCGGCUAACUCCGUGCCAGCAGCCGCGGUGAAUACGGAGGGUGCAAGCGUUACUCGGAAUCACUGGGCGUAAAGGACGCGUAGGCGGGUUGGAAAGUCAGGUGUGAAAUCCUACAGCUUAACUGUAGAACUGCACUUGAAACUUCUAAUCUAGAGUAUGGGAGGGGGAGAUGGAAUUAGUGGUGUAGGGGUAAAAUCCGUAGAUAUCACUAGGAAUACCUAAAGCGAAGGCGAUCUCCUGGAACAUUACUGACGCUAAGGCGUGAAAGCGUGGGGAGCAAACAGGAUUAGAUACCCUGGUAGUC
rnacentral:rRNA from 1 species